AGAUUUCCGGACUCCCUCCAUCCAAUGAGCGCACUCCACAUGCGGAGCAGGCGAGAGGGGCAGCAGCGAGUGAGGCACUUUCAAUAAAACGCGAGUGGCGCUGGACGGGCUGAGCCACUGACGAGAGAGCGGCUGUAACACGGGCAGACGCGCACCCACGGCAGCCUGAGGAGUGCACUGGCCAUUGCAGCGUGUGGCACGGAGGGCGACUGUUGCAGCCGGCUCCUCUGGGAAUAAAGGAGACACCUUAAGCAAAGUGGCCUGGGGAGGGGAUCGGUUGUUUUUUUUUUCCUUUUUAAAUUUUAAGCGUGACUUAAGUCGGCAAAACACACGCAUCAAAAAAAAACAUUUUGGACGAGAAGCUGGCGGAGGGGGGAGUCACACACACACGCAUCGUUUUUCUUCGUUCUCCAUAAGUGCCGGGAUUUCUACAUAAAUUCUAGAUAUUAUUUUUUUUUUCUCACCCCACCGGACGUUUUCUGUAUGUAAACGCCUAGUUUUAGAGUAUUUUACGCCUUUUUGUUUUGUUUUUUUUUUCUUCUCCUUCCUUCGCGAAAGGGACGUGCGGCGAAAUUGACACGGACUGAAAGGUGGCCGAGUCCACAAAGUGAGAGAGAGAGAGAGAAAGAAAAAAAGUGUCUUCACAAGGGGAGCAUUUCCACCAUGGAGAACGCGCACACAAAGACUGUGGAGGAGGUCUAUAGCUAUUUUAACGUCAAUGAGAGCACAGGGCUGAGUUUGGAUCAGGUGAAAAAGAAUAAAGAAAAAUGGGGACCGAACGAACUGCCAGCCGAGGAAGGAAAAUCUUUAUGGGAACUCGUUGUCGAGCAGUUCGAAGAUUUAUUAGUCAGAAUUCUUCUACUGGCAGCUUGUAUAUCCUUUGUACUAGCUUGGUUUGAAGAGGGAGAGGAAACAAUCACAGCAUUCGUGGAGCCUUUUGUGAUCCUACUUAUUUUAAUAGCCAAUGCCAUUGUGGGAGUGUGGCAGGAACGGAAUGCUGAAAAUGCCAUCGAAGCCCUCAAAGAGUACGAGCCGGAGAUGGGCAAAGUGUACCGGCAGGACCGGAAGAGCGUCCAGCGGAUCAAAGCCAGGGAUAUCGUCCCUGGCGAUAUCGUGGAAGUAGCAGUGGGAGACAAGGUUCCAGCUGACAUUAGAUUGUCUUCGAUCAAGUCCACGACCCUGAGAGUAGACCAGUCUAUUCUGACAGGAGAGUCGAUUUCGGUCAUCAAGCACACCGACCCUGUUCCUGAUCCCCGCGCUGUCAACCAGGACAAGAAGAACAUGCUCUUCUCCGGUACCAACAUUGCGGCUGGCAAGGCGGUGGGCGUGGUGGUCGCCACCGGAGUGAACACGGAGAUCGGCAAGAUCCGCGACGAGAUGGUCUCGACGGAGCAGGAGAAGACGCCGCUGCAGCAGAAGCUGGACGAGUUCGGCGAGCAGCUGUCCAAGGUCAUCUCCCUGAUCUGCAUCGCCGUGUGGAUCAUCAACAUCGGCCACUUCAACGACCCCGUGCACGGCGGCUCCUGGAUCCGCGGCGCCGUCUACUACUUCAAGAUCGCCGUGGCGCUGGCCGUGGCCGCCAUCCCCGAGGGGCUGCCCGCCGUCAUCACCACCUGCCUGGCGCUGGGCACCCGCCGCAUGGCCAAGAAGAACGCCAUCGUGCGCAGCCUGCCCUCCGUCGAGACCCUGGGCUGCACCUCCGUCAUCUGCUCCGACAAGACUGGCACCCUCACCACCAACCAGAUGUCCGUGUGCAGGAUGUUCAUUCUUGACAAAACCGAGGGAGACAGCUGCUCUCUUAACGAGUUCACGAUCACCGGAUCUACCUACGCCCCCGAGGGAGAAGUGUUUAAGGAUGGAAAAUUGGUGAGGACCUCUCAGUAUGAUGGCUUAGUGGAACUGGCAACUAUCUGUGCUCUCUGCAAUGACUCCUCCCUGGAUUUUAAUGAGACAAAAGGGGUGUAUGAGAAAGUUGGUGAGGCCACCGAGACCGCCCUCACCUGCCUUGUGGAGAAAAUGAACGUCUUUGACACUGAACUCAAAGGACUGACCAAGAUUGAGAAAGCCAAUGCCUGCAACUCGGUGAUCAAACAACUGAUGAAGAAGGAGUUCACCUUGGAGUUCUCCAGAGACCGAAAGUCCAUGUCUGUGUACUGCACGCCCAACAAAGCUCGCUCCUCCAUUGGAAAGAUGUUUGUUAAGGGUGCCCCUGAAGGAGUGCUCGACAGGUGCACCCAUGUUCGAGUGGGCAGCUCCAAAGUGCCCAUGACUGCGGGCAUCAAGGAGAAGAUCAUGUCUGUGAUCAGGGAGUACGGCACUGGCAAGGACACCCUGCGCUGCCUGGCGCUGGCCACACGAGACAACCCAUUGAGGAAGGAGGACCUGGUGCUGGUGGACAGUGCCCGCUUCAUCGAGUACGAGACGGACCUGACCUUUGUGGGGUGCGUGGGCAUGCUGGACCCCCCCAGGACGGAGGUGGCGGCUUCCAUCAAGCUGUGCCGGCUGGCGGGAAUCCGGGUCAUCAUGAUCACGGGCGACAACAAGGGCACCGCCGUCGCCAUCUGCCGUCGCAUAGGGAUCUUCGGCGAGAACGACGACGUGUCCCUCAUGGCCUUCACGGGUCGCGAGUUUGAUGACCUGUCUCCCGCCGCCCAGCGGGACGCCGUCAUGAACGCGCGCUGCUUCGCCCGAGUCGAGCCCUCCCACAAGUCCAAGAUUGUGGAGUUCCUCCAGUCCUUCGACGAGAUCACUGCCAUGACGGGCGACGGCGUGAACGACGCUCCCGCGCUGAAGAAGGCGGAGAUUGGGAUCGCCAUGGGCUCAGGAACGGCCGUGGCCAAGACCGCCUCCGAGAUGGUGCUCGCGGACGACAACUUCUCCACCAUCGUGGCGGCGGUGGAGGAGGGCCGGGCCAUCUACAACAACAUGAAGCAGUUCAUCCGCUACCUCAUCUCCUCCAACGUGGGCGAGGUCGUCUGUAUCUUCCUGACCGCCGCGCUGGGCUUCCCUGAGGCGCUCAUCCCCGUGCAGCUGCUGUGGGUCAACCUGGUGACGGACGGGCUGCCGGCCACCGCCCUCGGCUUCAACCCCCCCGACCUGGACAUCAUGAACAAGCCCCCCCGCAACGCCCGCGAGCCCCUCAUCUCCGGCUGGCUCUUCUUCAGAUACCUGGCCAUCGGAUGCUACGUGGGGGCUGCCACUGUGGGGGCGGCCGCCUGGUGGUUCAUGGCAGCAGACGACGGGCCCCGAGUCACCUUUUACCAGCUGAGCCACUUCCUGCAGUGCGCUCCCGACAAUCCGGACUUCCAGGACGUGGACUGCGAGGUGUUCGAGUCUCCCUACCCCAUGACCAUGGCCCUGUCUGUGCUGGUGACCAUCGAGAUGUGCAACGCCCUCAACAGUCUGUCUGAGAACCAGUCCCUGCUCCGGAUGCCCCCCUGGGAGAAUAUUUGGCUGCUGGGUGCCAUCUGCCUGUCCAUGUCCCUACACUUCCUCAUCCUCUACGUGGAGCCUCUUCCACUCAUUUUCCAGAUCACUCCCCUGAACGUGAUCCAGUGGCUGAUGGUGCUGAAAAUCUCCCUCCCAGUCAUCCUCUUGGAUGAGCUGCUCAAGUUCACAGCCCGCAACUACCUGGAGCCCGGUAAAGAGCUGUCCAAGCCUGCGAGUGGCAGCUGCACUCUGUCCGCAUGCACUGAGGGCAUCUCUUGGCCGUUUGUGCUGGUUUUCUUCCCUCUGAUAGUCUGGCUGUACAGUACAGACACUAACGUCUCUGACAUGUUCUGGUCAUGACUGUUGUAACAGGCUGCUGUGGGUGAAUUUUACAAAACCGUACUAAACUAAAACCCAUAAAACCACCAUUUUUGUACUUGUCUGAAUAAGAGAAACUAAGUUCACCAUUCCAUCGGCUGUGCGUGUCUGCUGACAUGGGUUGGAGAGUUAUCGUUGCUUUGUCAGUGACGUGGUUUUUUUAUUUUUUUUUAUGGAUUUCAGAUUCUUAUUGUCUUGGUGUCUCAUUUCAAGUAGAAUCCAAUAAGUGUUUUUUUCGCCCCUCCCUUCCACAACACAACUGGUUUGAGAAAAUGUGCAUUGACAUGUAUAGAGAUUUAACACUAUUUUAUGCAAAUGUAUUUUGUAGUUCUAAAAGGAGAGCAGGGGGAAAAGAGCAGGUACAGGAUUCUGUGUACUAAUGUUUUAUCGUUUUUUGGUUUAAAUUCAGAAACCCUUUGAGCCAACGGACAUGCACCAUUUAAGUGAUGCAUCACGAGUGUUUUAUGAAUGUUUAUUGUUGACAAAAACCAACAAUGAAAGCUGCAUGUACUGUUCUUGCAUGAACAGCUCGUGGGUAAUUUUUCUUUGAUUUGAAGACAUUUGCCAUGCUUGUUGUGUGUCACUGUUUUUUUGUAUGAAAUAAGCCAGUUUUUCUGCACCAGGCAGAGCACAGCUACCUCAACACAAUUGAUAUUGCUUUUUUCUAGAUCCCACCCCUCCCAUUUUGUUCUUAAGUUUACAUCUUGGUAAUGUUUGAGGUAUGCCUAUACUUGCUCGUGCAGAAAACAAGUCCUUCCCUCUGUUUCACAGAUGUUUUUCAUAUCAUUUUAAGGAUAUUUAUUUCUGUCUGUUUUAUCUGAAUGGUCAUUCAUGGUUUGUUUGUUUGGGUGGGGGGGGAUGGACAUAAAGAUGUAAAUGCUACCAGUUUCUUAAAAGUUGGGAUUAAUUCAGAAGUUGAACAAAAAAUUGCCCGGUGAAGUUACGUUUAAUUAAAACAUUGUUUUAAGUGGACUUUUAAGAAUAUCUAACUUGUCUUUUUUUUUCUUUGAAAAAUACACACACACCUGAACCUUUAACUAGGCUUUUGUCUUAAUUUAGAAGCACUGAUGCAUCAUAUCAUUGUGAUCAUUUCUAUACAAAGUGUUUAGUGCACAUACUUGAAUUUAUAUAUAAUAAGUGGGUACUUGUGUGAUGAGCUGAGCACAAAAACAAUGCUGUGAUUUGGCCCUUGUUCAUUGUGCCUGUUGAUUUCCCAUAGUCCAGGGCUCAAUCAGUAGCCUUUUGCUUGUCUGAACUCUAAAGGCAAAAGGCUUUCUGUUAGAGGACUGUAAAUUUGUACAUAACACAUUACCAAAUAUUAUCUUUGUGUAUAAUAGGAAAGUUUUAAGGCUUGCCCAUCCCAUCCCACUAAUUCUAGUCUACACCAGGUGUGCUAUAGAUGAUAACCUUCUGUACCUCUGAAGCAUGCUUCCUGCAAUAUCAGGCCAGUACUGCUGUGUUCUUGAUUCACAAGUGUUAACAAGCCUAAUUGUGCUAUUUCCUCCAAUGCCUUCCAACGUCUCCCCAACGAACAAGAGAACUGGUGUAACUCCAGCUUCUCUUUUAAAACUCUUUGCAGAAAUGUAAGGUUUUGUUUUAGUGUUGUGCAUGUGUGUUUUGAGCAGCACCACAUCUACCAAGACCUGCAUGUAUAAUAUGUGCAAACAAAAAUAUAUACAUUAAAAAUGGAAACUGUUUUUUUUUUAAUGGACAAAAAAGGUGUGUAACUACAUAGGAGACGCAGAAAUGAAACUGUGCAAAUCAUCUUUAAGAACUGGGGGCAACUCUCAGGAGAAGCCCUUGGACAUCACUGCAUGAAGGCGAAGCCUUGCUUAGCCUCAAAACCUUAACGAAGAUGUAAGGAGUUUUCAUGCCAACUUUUUAAACACUUCUGUGUAAAAUGUCAUAGUUUUAUAUAAUUGUACAAUAUACUGUAACGCAUGUUCUCCAGUUGUAAGUAGCCAAAAACUGUAUUUUAUCUGAAGUUUAUAACAAGCUAUGUACAAUAUCGCUAAGUGCUAUAUAUAUAAAAUUCCAUGAGAAGGUAGUACAGAUGUUGAAUGUUAAAGCUCAAAACCAUUAUUUCAUUUCAUGAUCCGAUACUUUUCCUAAGGAAAGCUUUUUUCCGAGUGUGCAGAAUAACCGACUAGGCCUUUUUUUGUUUUGCACUGUAAUAAUGUAACUAUUAUUUAAAUAAGAUAUUGCAAUAGCUGGGCAGGCAUUGGUGCAACAGAACUGUGGUGCAAACAUACUGAAACAAGCAGUCAGAUCCUUUAACGGCAAGUCUGAACCCUGAGCGACUGUAAUAAGGCAGUGCUGUUUUUUUCAGUAAUGAUUGUUAAAAUGCAUCACGUGACUUAUGGUUUCAGGUAAAUAAAAGAAUUCUACCAGA